AUAGCUCAGAUGGUAAAGCAUCUGUCUGCAAUGCAGGAGACCCAGGUUCGACCCCUGCGU
rnacentral:tRNA from 1 species